UACGGAGGGUGCAAGCAUUAAUCGGAAUUAUUGGGCGUAAAGGGCGCGUAGGCGGUAAGGCAAGUCAGGUGUGAAAUCCCGGAGCUUAACUCCGGAACAGCACUUGAAACUCCUUUCUAGAGGGUAGGCGGAGAAAACGGAAUUCCACAAGUAGCGGUGAAAUGCGUAGAUAUGUGGAAGAACAGCCUGUGGCGAAAGCGGUUUUCUAGCUUAUUCCUGACGCUGAGGCGCGAAAG
rnacentral:rRNA from 1 species